UACGAAGGGGGCUAGCGUUGUUCGGAAUCACUGGGCGUAAAGGGCGCGUAGGCGGCUUUAUAAGUCGGGGGUGAAAGCCUGUGGCUCAACCACAGAAUUGCCUUCGAUACUGUAGAGCUUGAGACCGGAAGAGGUAAGUGGAACUGCGAGUGUAGAGGUGAAAUUCGUAGAUAUACGCAAGAACACCAGUGGCGAAGGCGGCUUACUGGUCCGGUUCUGACGCUGAGGCGCGAAAGCGUGGGGAGCAAACAGG
rnacentral:rRNA from 1 species